UAGAUUUUUGGAUAUUCAAUUUGAAAAUACACACAGUAGAGAUUGUCAUGUGACUGCAACGACUGCUGGUGUGGUAUUUUGACUAAAUAUAUACAAACCACAACAUAUUUCCAUGCGCAGCAUCUGUGAUUUGCAUGUUCUCAUCAUGUCGCCCCGGGUUACCGCCUUAAAGUGGGCCAGACUGGUUGUUGCUAUGAACCGCUUCAACACUAUUUGAAUCACAAAACAAAGGUUCCACACAACUCUCUCCUUGCAGAUGAUCCAUGUGGAUAGCUUUGCAGACACCAUAAAAUAAAGUUUAUAUUGGCAUGAUAUUUAUGGCCUGCAAGUCAUUAAACACUGUUUCAUUGUGUUUUCUCAGAGAACAUUUUCUACGCUUGGUUGAGCUGAAAGUUGUGUUUGAGGUGACACGCUGUCAUUUGUCAAAGUCACUGAGGCAACAAGCGUAGAGAUUUAGGAACUGGGAGAUAUUGGACAACAUAAGAAUUAGUCAUUGCAGCAGAAACAACGAACACUUGCAAUGAGCUCAGUAUUGUCCUGAAGGUUUAGGUCUUCCUCAAACUGUCUAAAAAAGAGACAUUUUCUGCCGUUAUCCUGAAAGCACACUGAGGGGUCUCCAACCACAGAAAAGACCAAGACAAAGCAUCUAAGAUGGCUACUCAACUCAUCAACCGUCCAGCACAGCACAAAGCCCCACAGGAAAUUAUGAAAUUCAUUCAGUUUAUUUGCUAAAAAGAACAAUAUGAUUAAAUACGUCCGGGAUGUAAUAAGGGAUUGGCUCCUCUCAUGUCUUUGUCUAAUGGAAGAUGCAGGUGACUAAAACUGGUUUGUCGGCUGAUUUGCAAAAGCAUUCAGUCUGGGUUUUAGUCAGCAAACAAAGGCUGGGUUCCGCUGCUCCCUCGGGUGUGUCUAAGGUCAGGAAGAAAGGCUGGAGUGAGCUUCCCAGUGCU
ensembl:lncRNA